ensembl:lncRNA
CCUCUCUCAGAUUGACAAUUUCAUAGGUGCAUAUAUUGACGAUAUGAACAGAUCGAUGCCCACCAAGGUAUUGAUGGUCCAAAUCUCUGGGUGAUGAGAUUAUCUAUAUUUUUUGUUUCUUCUUUUUGAUUGGACACAGCUUUGAUUUAAAAAGGAUAAAGCCUAUUUUUAAUACAAGGAAGAAAAAGAUUUUAGAGGUACAGCACUUCUCUGAAGGAGAGGGUAAAGGUCCUGAGUGAACCGCGCAAUGUAAAUUUGCUUUGCUGCAUGCUGUCCUCGGCUCAGCCACAGCUUCAUUCUCAGACGCUUCCCUCCGUCCUCAGGGAAAUAGGAAACCUGGAGGGCUGGCCUCUCAGGCAUUCUUAGAAGUCCGCUGCCGCCAUGACUUCACACUUUGUCCUGGGAUCCUGUGACUCUCGGGCACAGACCCAGAGCAGCCCUCACUCAAUUGCUUCUUUGAUUUUCUCCCAGUUGGACUGUCAGGGAUUGUUGGCCAGUGGGAGGCUGCUGAGUGGUGAACUGUGCGGAGAAACAACAAUCGCAUUUCUUUCUGCCAGCAGUCAAGUUUCUUUUGAGACACAUGUGCACACAGAGGGAUCGGACCCCUUCCGCUGAGACACGGCCUAAACCAGUUUCCCUAACGUGCAAGCUGCCUGGAGACCAGCAGGCCUACAAUUUAUUCCUUCUUGUCAGUCUUUUUUACAUCUUUUGGGGUCUGUCCAUCUCUUUUUUGCCAGGUCUCUGGCAUCUUAAACAUUUUAAACCGAUAUGAGUAAGAGUCUUUCCUAUUUCUAGUAAGUAUUUGUCACAUUUGCGGUACUUUUAUAAUUAAUGAGAUAUGUGCUUCUGAGAAGUUUCAGAGGGACUCAGUGACAGGAGGCUCAGGAGCUCGAUAAGGGUUUGUAUCCUAGUUCUGCCAGUUACUAGGAUACGGUAUUUAACCUCCUCGAUCUUGGGUUUCUCCGAGUGUGAUAGUUAGUUUUACAUGUCAACUUGACUGGGCCACAGGGUGCCCAGACAUUUGGCUAAACAUUAUUUCUGGGUGUGUCUGUGAGGGUGUUUCCGGAUGAGAUUAGCGUUUGAAGUGGUAGACCGAGUAAAGCAGAUGGCCCUCGCCAGUGUGUGUGUGCCUCAUCCAGUCUGUUGAGGCCCUGAUAGAACAGAGGCAGAAGGAUUCAAUUCAUUCUCUCCGCUUGACUGCUUCAGCUGGAACACUGGUCUUCUCCAGUCCUCGGAAGGGGACUCUCACCCUUGGCUCCCCCAGUUUGCAGGCCUUCUGACUUGGACUGGAACGACCCCACCAGCAUUCCCGGGUCUCCAGCUUGCAGAUGGCAGACUGUGGGACUUCUCGGCUUCCAUAAUUGCGAAUGAAUUCUUCAUAAUAAAUCGAUCUGUCUCUCA